GACGAACGCUGGCGGCGUGCUAACACCUGCCAGUCGGACGGAAAGGCCCUGCUUUUGUGGGGUGCUCGGGUGGCGAACGGGGGAGUAACACGGGAGUAACCUGCCCUUGACUUUGGGGUAACUUCAGGGAACUGGGGCUAAUACCGGAUAGGAGCUCCUGCUGCCUGGGGGGGGGUGGAAAGUUUCGGCGGUUGGGGAUGGACUCGCGGCUUAUCAGCUUGUUGGUGGGGUAGUGGCUUACCAAGGCUUUGACGGGUAGCCGGCCUGAGAGGGUGACCGGCCACAUUGGGACUGAGAUACGGCCCAGACUCCUACGGGAGGCAGCAGUGGGGAAUAUUGCACAAUGGGCGGAAGCCUGAUGCAGCAACGCCGCGUGCGGGAUGACGGCCUUCGGGUUGUAAACCGCUUUCGCCUGUGACGAAGCGUGAGUGACGGUAAUGGGUAAAGAAGCACCGGCUAACUACGUG
rnacentral:rRNA from 1 species